rnacentral:misc_RNA from 1 species
GAAAGCUCUUUGUUUUUUGAAAUGAUGCUUUUAUGAGAUAGAGCUUUUUUAGAUAAUGCUUUUUUAGAUAAUGCUGGGGAAGGUUUUCCGGUUUAUCUCGGAGGGCUUGUAGCUCAGUUGGUUAGAGCGCGCGCUUGAUAAGCGUGAGGUCGGAGGUUCAAGUCCUCCCAGGCCCACCAAUUUACCUAUCCAUUUGCUUUUAUCCGUUUAUUUGCCGAUUUAUCGGUCCAUUGAAUUUAAGUGUUGGUAGCGGUUUUUAUAAUGAUGAGAAAUCAUGCUUAUAAAAGAACUCCUUAUAAAAGGCUUGUUUUUAAAAUGUGACGCUUAUCCAUUUCGCUUAGGCAAGAGAAACUUCAAGCGGUUCAAAUGCAAAAGGCUUUAAAUUUUGCAAAACAAUUUGAAUUUUGCAAAACAAUUUGAAUUUUAAAGUGAUCCAAGUUCGUGAUCUCGAAUUUAAAAGUUUCGAAUGCUUUAUCCUUUUUUGGGGGCCGUAGCUCAGCUGGGAGAGCACCUGCUUUGCAAGCAGGGG